rnacentral:rRNA from 1 species
AGAGUUUGAUCCUGGCUCAGAAUCAACGCUGGCGGCGUGCCUAACACAUGCAAGUCGAACGGGAAAGGCCCGCAAGGGCUGAGUAGAGUGGCGCACGGGUGAGUAACACGUGGAUAACCUGCCCUGGAGUGGGGGAUAACGACUCGAAAGGGUCGCUAAGACCGCAUAAAACCAUAGCUGAAGGCGGUGGUUAAAAGGAGCAAUCUGCUCCGGGAGGGGUCCGCGGCUGAUUAGCUAGUCGGUGAGGUAAUGGCUCACCGAGGCAACGAUCAGUAGCCGUCCUGAGAGGGAGCACGGCCACACUGGAACUGAGAAACGGUCCAGACUCCUACGGGAGGCAGCAGUGGGGAAUUUUUGGCAAUGGGGGAAACCCUGACCAAGCAACGCCGCGUGGGUGAUGAAGUAUCUUGGUACGUAAAGCCCUUUCGGCAGGGACGAAGAAAGUGACGGUACCUGCGGAAGAAGCCCCGGCUAACUCCGUGCCAGCAGCCGCGGUAAUACGGGGGGGGCAAGCGUUGUUCGGAAUUACUGGGCGUAAAGGGCGCGCAGGCGGCCUGAUAAGUUGGUGGUGAAAGUCCUGGGCUCAACUCAGGGAUGGCCAUCAAGACUGUCAGGCUGGAGUGUGGGAGAGGAGGGUGGAAUUCCUGGUGUAGCGGUGAAAUGCGUAGAGAUCAGGAGGAACACCGGUGGCGAAGGCGGCUCUCUGGACCACUACUGACGCUGAGGCGCGAAAGCUAGGGGAGCAAACAGGAUUAGAUACCCUGGUAGUCCUAGCCCUAAACGAUGGAUACUUGCUGUGGGGGGUAUUAAAUCCCCCUGUGGCGGAGCUAACGCGUUAAGUAUCCCGCCUGGGGAGUACGGUCGCAAGUCUGAAACUCAAAGGAAUUGACGGGGGCCCGCACAAGCGGUGGAGCAUGUGGUUCAAUUCGACCACGCGAAGAACCUUACCUGGGCUUGAACUCUAGUCGAAUCAGGCAGAGAAGCUUGAGUCCUUUACGGGACGGCUGGAGAGGUGCUGCAUGGCUGUCGUCAGCUCGUGUCGUGAGAUGUUGGGUUAAGUCCCGCAACGAGCGCAACCCUUGCCCUUAGUUGCUAACGGGUUAAGCUGAGCACCCUAAGGGAACUGCCGGCGAUAAGCCGGAGGAAGGUGGGGAUGACGUCAAGUCCUCAUGGCCUUUAUGUCCAGGGCCACACACGUGCUACAAUGGGCGGUACAGAGAGUCGCAAACCUGCGAGGGGGAGCCAAUCUCAAAAAACCGUUCUCAGUUCGGAUUGGAGUCUGCAACUCGACUCCAUGAAGCUGGAAUCGCUAGUAAUCGCGGAUCAGCAUGCCGCGGUGAAUACGUUCCCGGGCCUUGUACACACCGCCCGUCACAUCAUGAAAGCUGGCUGUACUAGAAGUCGCCGAGCUAACCUGCAAAGGAGGCAGGCGCCCAAGGUAUGACUGGUGAUUGGGGUGAAGUCGAAACAAGGUA